UUAGAUUAUAUUUAUUAAUUUAUAUUAUUUUAUUUCAAAUAUUAAAAAUAAUUAUAAAAUAAAAAGUUUUAGUAUUGUUUAAAGAAAAAAUAAUUUUAAUAAUAGUUUAAUAGUAUUGUAAAAGAAAAUUGAAAUAAUUUG
rnacentral:rRNA from 1 species